UGCAGAAUACCUUCAUAACAAGCUCAGGGCCAAGCACUAUUCCAAGGCAAAAGCUCCUCUCUCAACCUAUUCAAGCAUGAACUUGGAAGAAAGUCAGCUCUCUUCAUAGUAAAUCAACAACUCACUGACCAAAAAAAGAACACAAAGUGAAGUCUUCUGCAGUAGAUACAUGGCACUCCUACCAAUUUCACCAUCACAAAAUAAUUCUGGUUCAAGGGACCUGUGUAAGUCACCUGGUCUAACCUCACAUUCAAAGCAGAGCCAUCAUCAACCAGGCUGCUCAGUACCUUGUCAAGUUCUGAACAUCUCCAAGGACCAAGACUCUACAACCACUCUGGACAACCUAUUCCAAGGUGAAGGACCACGCUCUUAGGUUGAAUCAAGUCCAUCUGUGUCACGCUGGAAGUGCCUAACGGACCUAUGGGGGUCAAACUUAUAAUCGAUACACUGCUGAUGGCAAUGAGGAAAGUGUGGCAGGACGAGUGGCCUGGUGAGAAGACUUCCCCAUAUGUCCCCCUGUCGGACCCAGCAGCAGAAAGAAUGCAAACCCGUUUGUAUAUAUGCAAAUUUUUGCAGCAGAUUUAAGAGCUUCGGGUGCUCUGGGGAAGAAAUCUCUGCUUAAGGAGCACGUAUUUAAAUAAAACAAGAUUUUCAGUACUGUCUUGUACUUCGCCAGCUUGGAAAACACAAACGAUCUUCUGUA